CUUGCUUCUCUCUUCCCUGCAUGUUGAUGCAACUCUCAGUCGGCUUCUUCGCUCGCCCUGGAAGGGCGGGGGGGCCUUCUGCAUGUUAUUGCAGAACAGGGAGGGGCGAGAGCCCUGCUGUGCAUUGCUGCCUAGAGAUUUUUAAAAAAUUACACAGAACUUUUUACUUCCAACAAUGUUGUUACUAUUCCACUUUUCUGAUGAUUUCCAUUUGGGUGGCAAAAGAUAUAGGUCUGUGCUUCAUCAACAUAUCAG
rnacentral:lncRNA from 11 species